AGCAGCCGCGGUAAUUCCAGCUCCAAUAGCGUAUAUUAAAGUUGUUGCAGUUAAAAAGCUCGUAGUUGAAUUUCGGGGUCAGUAGAUUGGUCGUGCCACUGGUAUGUACUGGUCUUACUGGCUCCUCCUUCCUGAUGAACCGUAAUGCCAUUAAUUUGGUGUUGCGGGGAGACUGGACUGUUACUUUGAAAAAAUUAGAGUGUUUAAAGCAGGCUAACGCUUGAAUACAUUAGCAUGGAAUAAUGAAAUAGGACGUUCGAUCUUAUUUUGUUGGUUUCUAGGAUUGACGUAAUGAUUAAUAGGGAUAGUUGGGGGCAUUAGUAUUCAAUUGUCAGAGGUGAAAUUCUUGGAUUUAUUGAAGACUAACUACUGCGAAAGCAUUUGCCAAGGAUGUUUUCAUUAAUCAAGAACGAAAGUUAGGGGGUCGAAGACGAUCAGAUACCGUCGUAGUCUUAACCAUAAACUAUGCCGACUAGGGAUCGGAUGAUGUUAAUUUUUUAAUGACUCAUUCGGCGCCUUA
rnacentral:rRNA from 1 species